AUAUUAACCUAACGUAGAAUUUUUACGAAUAGACUAUAGAUAAAUUGCAACCAUGGAUACUAUCGUACGCUCAUAAACUUGGCUAUCUUAAAGUUUACAUUUCCAAUGUAAAAUUAUGAUUUAAUAUCCAUGAACCUAAAUGUUCACAAUUGGAAACAUAUUGCAAAUACAUUUCUGCUAACAUA